rnacentral:lncRNA from 10 species
AAAGUCCUUAGUGUUCUGCCAAUUUAAAACAGUAAUUUUCAAAGCAGUUAUUUGCAAGGAAAUUGCCUAGAACUUCUCCCAGUGUGCGGUUGUUUUGUGUGUUUGUGUGUGUGUUUUGUUUGUUUGUUUUCAGUCUGUCCACAGGCGUACUUUUAUAGGUCUGUGAUAGUAGGUAGCUCUUCAAGUUGGCAAACACCUGCUGGACAACCCCUGAGAGAUUCAUCUGAGUGAGAGAGCACUCUCCAGCCCCAUCGGAGUGGGUUUGCAGGGAAAUCAUAAGGAAGAAAUCCUUAUCUUUCCAACACUGAGAUGCUUCUGCCGAAGAGUAGAAUGGGAGGU